AUGCUCUCAUCAGUGCUGCUGCUGCUCACAGCUGCAUUCUGUGGUGUUGGUGCUGUGGAGCUCACUCAGUCAGCCUCUGUGCUCGUGAAACCUGGAGAGUCGUUCUCCAUCUCUUGUAAGACCUCAGAGUCGAGCUAUUGUAUUUACUGGAUACGACAACCUGCUGGGAAAGCUCUUGAAUGGCUCGGAUAUCUGUGUAGUGAUGGUAGCACUAAUCUCAAAGAUACAGUGAAGAGCAAGAUCAGUUUCAGCCAGGACACAUCCAGCAGAACAGUUUAUUUAAGAGGACAAAACUCUCAGACCGAGGACACGGCUGUGUAUUACUGUGCCAGAGACACACAGCACUACAGACUCCCUGCAGUCCUGUACAAAAACAUCCCUGUUAAUUUUCAUCUCCCUGCAGUCCACUUGUCCCCAGGGACGCCUGGUAUAAAUGAGCUCGCAGGGCUCAGACCCCUCUGUAUUUCAAAGACAAAGGGAAAUCAACCUCAUGUUUCAUCUUUGGCCUCAACAUGA